UACGGAGGAUCCAAGCGUUAUCCGGAUUUAUUGGGUUUAAAGGGAGCGUAGGCGGUCUUAUAAGUCAGUGGUGAAAUCCUAUCGCUUAACGAUAGACGUGCCAUUGAUACUGUAGGACUUGAGUACAGAUGCCGUUGGCGGAAUGUGUCAUGUAGCGGUGAAAUGCAUAGAUAUGACACAGAACACCGAUUGCGAAGGCAGCUGACGAAACUGUAACUGACGCUGAGGCUCGAAAGCGUGGGGAGCGAACAGG
rnacentral:rRNA from 1 species